GAAUUCGAUUAGAGUUUGAUCCUGGCUCAGAACGAACGCUGGCGGCGCGCCUAACACAUGCAAGUCGAGCGAUUAAAGCUCCUUCGGGAGUAUAUAAAGCGGCGGACGGGUGAGUAAGGCAUAGAUGAUCUGCCCUAAAGAGGGGGAUAGCUCGGGGAAACUUGGGUUAAUACCGCGUAAGCUGAACGAGUGAAUGCCGUUUAGUAAAGGCUUCGGCCGCUUUAGGAUGAGUCUAUGUUAGAUUAGAUAGUUGGUGAGGUAACGGCUCACCAAGUCAACGAUCUAUAACUGGUCUGAGAGGAUGAUCAGUCACACUGGAACUGAGACACGGUCCAGACUCCUACGGGAGGCAGCAGUGAGGAAUUUUGCGCAAUGGGCGAAAGCCUGACGCAGCGACGCCGCGUGGAGGAUGAAGUCUCUCGAGAUGUAAACUCCUGUCAGUGGGAACGAUAAUGACGGUACCCACAGAGGAAGCACCGGCUAACUCCGUGCCAGCAGCCGCGGUAAGACGGAGGGUGCGAGCGUUGUUCGGAAUUACUGGGCGUAAAGCGUACGUAGGCGGUUGGUUAAGUCGAAUGUUAAAGCUCGGAGCUCAACUCCGUAGAUGCACUCGAUACUGGUCAACUAGAGGGUGGCAGAGGAAAGCGGAAUUCCAAGUGUAGCGGUGAAAUGCGUAGAUAUUUGGAGGAACAUCGGUAGCGAAAGCGGCUUUCUGGACCAUUCCUGACGCUGAGGUACGAAAGCGUGGGUAGCAAACAGGAUUAGAUACCCUGGUAGUCC
rnacentral:rRNA from 1 species